rnacentral:lncRNA from 10 species
AGCCCUCAGCGUACAUGCCAGCUAAUUACAGAUGCAGGAGCAAACCCCUGGCCCAUACAUCAGUUGGGUGUGGUGACUCACACCUGCAAUCCCAGCACUUCAGGAGGCUGAAGAGAGCAGAUCACUUGCGGCCAGGAGUUCGAGACCAGUCUGGGCAACAUAGAUUUUGGAAGCAUUGCCUUCUACAGAAUCCACAGUAGUCCGAAGCUCUUCUACGGUUUUUGUCAAACUUUGAUUUUCCAUCUCUAGCUUCAAUAAUCUACUUGAUGUCAACUCAUUCACCUCAUGGCCCAGGGAUUUCUGGGGUGCUAUAAUAUUGAAAAAUACACCAUUGUAUUUACUCUUUACUGUUUUUACUAUGUUUACUCUUUACUAUUUAAAAAGUUGAGUGUAUAUGCAUUGCAUCAUCUGAUCCUUAACUUUAUUAAAAAUUCAAUGAGGUUAUAUAAGAUAAACAAGAUAAAAGAAGUAAAUCUUUUUUUUCCUUUUCUUUUUUUCUUUUUUUUAAAGAGACGGGGUCUCUCUCUGUCACCCAGGCUGGAGUGCAGUGAUGUGCUCCUAGCUCACUGCAGCCUCAAACGCCUGGUCUGAAGGGAUCCUCCCACCUCAGUCUCCCAAGCGGCCGGGACUGCAGGUACAGCCAGCUAAUUUUUUUAUUUUUUAGUAAAGACUGGGUCUCUGUUACUUAGGCUGGUCUCGAACUCCUGAGCUCAAGCAAUCCUCCUGCCUUGGCCUCCCAAAGUGCUGGGAUUACAGGCAUGAGCCGCUGCACCCAGCUAAGAGAUACAUGUUUAACUUUUAAUGCAUCCACAGCAUUCUAGUUAAAAAAAGCAUAAAAUUUAGAUUGAAGAAAUUGGAGUUCAAGCAGACCCAUUAAAUAUUUUGCUGAUAUAAGAACAUUAGGAUUUACAAAUGAAAUAUGAGACCUACUAUUUCAAGAAAGGAAAUGAAUAAAGGUACUGGAGAGA